rnacentral:lncRNA from 1 species
UGGCCACAUAAAUUUCCAAAACCGACCAAUGUUUUGGAUAAGUUUCAGAGAAGAUCCAGACUUUUCAUUUUCGUUUUCAUGUUCCUAAUGGAACUUCACACCAUGAUAUAGACAAAUCACAACCAAGGACAGAUGCAAGGAGAAAAAAAAAGUAGACACAGAAAAUGAAAGAAGGGGAAUGAACAUGGGACUUAUUUUUCAUUUUUUUUCUCUUUGAAAAAAAUCAUCUAACACCAAUAUAGAAGCUCAUUGACUAUGCAAAGUCAAUUUUACUGUUUCUGGUGGUAUUUCACUCAAGAGAAUGGUAAUGAUAGUUCAAUUAUUUUACAAAAAAUGCUGCCAGGGCAAAAUUCUAUCACACUUUACUUGGAAAAUGUGAUGCUAGUAUAAAUUAAAAAAUUAGUACAUGAAACAAGAUAUGUAAGAUUUCAAAUAAACAAUGAAAGAGAAGAAAUCCCCUACCGUCUGUUGAUUGUUCUAUAAUUAACUCUUGUUAACUGCUAGAAGGAUAAUUUAAAUUUGCAGAACUUUACUAACCUGGUAUAACUGCAAAAAUAACAGGCUAAGCUUCAUGAUUGCAAGAUGAUAGGGCUAUUUUGCAUGAAUAACAUGACUGAGGCACAAAGACCUUGGAGGAGCAAACUAACAAUAUGUUCAAUUGUCUUGGAGAUGAAACAAGGAGAUUAUAUGAGCAACCGAACAACUGGAAAUACUGCAGUAGAACU